GAUGAACGCUAGCGGCAGGCCUAACACAUGCAAGUCGAGGGAGAAGCCCUUUCGGGGGCAGAAACCGGCGCACGGGUGCGUAACGCGUAUGCAACCUACCUUUCACAGGGGGAUAGCCCGAAGAAAUUUGGAUUAAUACCCCAUAGUAUUAUUGGAUGGCAUCAUUUGAUAAUUAAAACUGCGGUGGUGAAAGAUGGGCAUGCGUCCUAUUAGCUAGUUGGAGUGGUAACGGCACCCCAAGGCUACGAUAGGUAGGGGUCCUGAGAGGGAGAUCCCCCACACUGGUACUGAGACAGGGACCAGACUCCUACGGGAGGCAGCAGUGAGGAAUAUUGGUCAAUGGUCGGAAGACUGAACCAGCCAUGCCGCGUGCAGGAAGAAUGCCUUAUGGGUUGUAAACUGCUUUUAUAUGGGAAGAAUAAGGCGUACGUGUACGUUGAUGACGGUACCAUAUGAAUAAGCAUCGGCUAACUCCGUG
rnacentral:rRNA from 1 species